UACGUAGGGUGCGAGCGUUGUCCGGAAUUAUUGGGCGUAAAGGGCUCGUAGGCGGUCUGUCGCGUCGGGAGUGAAAAACUCAGGGCUUAACCCUGAGCCUGCUUCCGAUACGGGCAGACUAGAGGUAUGCAGGGGAGAACGGAAUUCCUGGUGUAGCGGUGGAAUGCGCAGAUAUCAGGAGGAACACCGGUGGCGAAGGCGGGUCUCUGGGCCGUAACUGACGCUGAGGAGCGAAAGCGUGGGGAGCGAACAGG
rnacentral:rRNA from 1 species